rnacentral:lncRNA from 1 species
CAUCAACCCACAUAUUAAUAGCGUAGGCUUUUUAAUAACUGUGCAAUAUUUUCAACACUUCCUUGCAUGCCAUUUCAUGUGGAAUAUCUUUUCUGGUCACAAAUUUGUGCAGCGAAUCUAUUUGCAUGAUCGACUCCGGGCCUGUGGGACCGUUCACUUGCACUUGAUGCUGAGUCUUUUACAUGUAUCCAUAAACUGCAGAUAUGCACAUCAGAUCCCUGCGAGCAUUUUCAAUAUUCAAUUAUUUUAGACAACAGGCACAUAUGCAAUACUGACAUAAUCUCAAGUACCACUAAGCAGCUGGGACACAUUUUUGUUGACCAUACUCGCAGGUAAAAUAAGUAGAUCAUGUGGACAGCUCCAGCUCAUUUUCCUUAAAUCAGUGUGUACGAGGGGUAUGCAAAAAUAAUUUUUUUCUCGCGCACCGAUUAUGUUGCUGUAUAAGCAAGAGAACCCACCACGUUAGAGUAACGUAUCUUGUACAUCACACUAAUAUGUUCUUUAAUUUACCAAGUGAGAUGAGUUACUUUUAUGGCUCAUUCAGUCCUAUCACACUGCAAGCUGCAUUCAUCAAUCUUCAAUUGGAUUUUGCAAAUGUUUAAUGAAACAUGUUUCCCUUUUAUGUAGAUAUGCAAUGGCACGCCUUUCCGUGUGUUCCAAGGGAAAAAUUUAAGCUCUAAAUCAAAGAAGACAUUUCUAGUCAGAAACAAGCAAAAAUGGUGAAUGCAAAGUAUCAGAAGCCCAAGGUACAGAAAUUAUGAGAAGUGUCGAAUGAUUUUAAGGAAAGAGUCGUAUUUGAAAAUGCAAGACUCUUUAGUGGAGGUCAAGCAAGUCAAUAUAGGUAGAAUACUCUGCAAAAUUGUGCGACUGAGGGGAUGUCAAACAAUGGGUCAGGAAAUGCGUUGUUUUUCUGCAAAACAAAAGCUGAUUGCCAUUACAUAAGUCACUUUAGCAUCAUGAGACUGCUGCUUGAUAAAUUCAGAAAUAAACCAAAACACAAGGCACGCAAAAAUAAAAAACAAUUUAAUGAUGCUCUCUCCACACUGGGAUAAAUAAAAACAAACACAUCACAUCUAAUGUGGACAUAUCAGACGCCUUGGGAAACACUAAAGGAAAAAUUCAGUUUCGAGCUAUGGCACUUGCCGCAUAGAUUUGGGGGGGGCCUUGCACUAAUAGUGAUAGUUACCACUGCAUUUAGAAAUUGAAAGCAUUCAUGCAGACAAGGAUUAUUUAUAUUUUUGGCUACCACUUCAAAUGCCUCCACCAAGUGUUACAAUGCUGCACGCAGCCAUACUAAGGAUCUCGCAGCAACACCUGCAGGUAAAAAGUAGAAGCAGUCAAAGUGCUGGUGUGUACUGGAAACUAUGUUUGAAAACUUUUAGGCAAGAAGAGUGCGAGAAGCAGACAUAACUGCAUUUAUUUCCAUAAUCCCCCAUUUGAAUGGCCUUUUCUUUUUGCUUAGACAAUGCCUACGCCUAGCCACAGCAGCUCCCUCAUACAGACUCCGCAAGCCACGAGGCCGUGGAGGCAAAUGCAGCCAGCACACCUCGAACAGCCACCUUGACUGCGGGUGUGUCACCCUAGUCGCCAAGGAAACAUUUGAGGGAAAGCGACAGGUAAUGUGAACAGCUACUUCUCCAUGUAAACGAUACUCUUUCUCUCGGAUGACUCCUACGCCUCGCCAUGCCAGCACACUUGUGCACAAAGUUGCUGCGGAGGCACGUGCAGGUCAGAGGCAAGAAGCAGUGGCACUGGUGUCGACAUUCACCCAAUUUCUUUUUCUUACACUGAGGCAGCCAGCACACCUCAAACAGCCACCUUGACUGCGGGUGCGUCAGUAGAUUCCUGUUGUACAUAUGCUCAUAAUAAAAUUCAGUAAACUUGAACUUGAUAAUAAACUUGAAGGCAAAUGGGA